CUCUCUCCCUCCUCUCUCUUCCUUGCUCGAUCCUGUUGCCGACCGUCCUACCCACGCACGCCCUCUCGCUCUCUCUGAAUCUGUGGUUGAAGGAUUAAAUCUCCAGCAACACUGAGGGGCAUUUUGAUGAUGUUCAAAGGGCACCUAGUUUGCCAUCUAAAGCACCAAAAGAACUCAAAGAGCUGAGAGAUCGUCAGUGAAGAACAAGUGAUGUUCCAAUGCAUUCUAUGUAACUCGCUGAUUGUCACGGGUUCCAAAUUUUCUGUCUCAGAAGUUGGAGGUUUUUUCACGCAAAAGCUAAGUCAAUGGAAGGUAGGCUCAUGGAUUGCAUAAUUCUCCAACCGGAUUUUGGCAGCAUUUCAGGAUUUCGGCAUUAUGCUCAGGUGAUUAGGCUAGCACUUGAUAUAUUAACAGAGUCGUUGCUAUUUUUAGGAAGCAAUCUUCUGUUCAUGUUAUUGAAAUUUAGGCCUGUUUGGGUGCUGCUUGAAAAUAACUUUGAACUCAUUUUAGUUAAUGGUGAUAAUGUUUCAGAACAUGAAAUUCAU